rnacentral:tmRNA from 1 species
GGGGAUGAUUGGCUUCGACAGGGAGAUCGAUGCAUCUAUGUGCAUGGCGGCAGUGGGAACCUGCCUAAAAAGUCCCAAACUCUAAGUGCAAACAAAACUGCACGGGGGGUCCUUUCGCCGAUUCAGGCGAAAGACCUCGGCCUUGUCUUCGCGUAAUUGCUGGACAACCGUUCGUUGGAUAGGUAUCUGAUACAUCCACGCGAGCGUCAUACCCAUCAGAUCCGGUGGUUAGUUCACUCCGACUAGUCACCUAAAGAAAGAGAGUCCGAGAUCAGAUCAUGUUGUGCGUACUUGAGAUCUGGUUUCUAAACCACAUUGAACGCCCUACGCCUUGUAGAUUCGUUUAUGCAUUUCUUCUUGCACUAGGGUUCAAUUCCCUACAUCUCCACCA